GGGAGAUAGAAAGAAACAGUUGUUAGGUGGUGUUGAAAACGUGUGAAGUCUUCUUUGGCUAUAAGGGCACAACUGUCCACUUUGCUGCGACACACGUCUUCUCUUCUCUCUCUGACCAAAAUAAUCACAUGUCAUGCGGAUUAGAUUCUUCUUCUUCGUAUCGUACGUACUACAUGAUCAGUUGAAGUUCCGACGUUAGCUGAUAUUACCUAAACACCCUCCUUCAUCACCGCC